GCCCCCCUAGCUCAGUCGGUAGAGCGCGUGACUUUUAAUCAUGAGGCCACGGGUUCGAGCCCCGUGGGGGGUA
rfam:Catenaria anguillulae PL171 BCR44scaffold_21, whole genome shotgun sequence.